GAUUUUUUUUUUUUUUUUUUUUGUGCUUUUGGCAAUCCUGAUUCCAGACGUCUUUCCUGUGUAUUUGUUUACAGAGGAAUUUUGGCCCUGUGUGUGUGUGUGUCUGUGUGUUUGCAUGCAUACCUUUGUUAUUUCAGCGGCUCAGUCUACACACAGUCUGCCAGACAUGUGUGCACCUGUGUGUGUGACUACAGUUCAGAAGCUACGCCCAACGUACAUUAAUUAAAUUCUGUUUGCAGGCUGUGUUUUGUUGUGUCACCGUGUCGGUGGCGUUUGAAGGACUGCUGCAACUUGCACCAGGCCCCGAGCACGUACACAUUCUGUCAUUUUCCUGUUAGCUUGUCGUCCGACUGCUUUUAUUUUGAGACAUGGCAGCGAGACACCGAGACGUUUGGAGAAUACAUUUGGGUGAUUGUGUGCCUCUGGGUUGGCACACCAGAUAACUAGGUCAGACAGAAAGUAAACAAACUUAGUUGACUUAUCAGUCUGUCUGUCUUUUACUGAGUUAUUAUAUUGUUGUAAAAUCUAUUACUUGCUUCAGAAUGCUGUUGUGUUGUAUGCCCGUACGUAGCUAGGCGAUUAGCUAGUGUGUUACUGAUUGUUGGAAUUCCUCUCAUAUCUGUUAAGCCGGUCACCUCGGCUGUUUGUCAGUGUUUUGAACCACUGAGGUCAGGUUAUGUAACAUUAAUGUAAUAUGGUAAUGUUAGGAUUGUCUAGACGUUUGAUGAGGCGAAAUAAUGGCUAAAAAUGUACAAACAUGUUUCAGAUGCAGCCGUCAGGCAGGAGAGUAAGUGAAAGAGUCCAGAGAAGAUUCAUGGACACAUGACACUAGAACACAGAGAUGGUUAUUGUAGCUUCACAGGAGCUGUAAGGUCAGGACAGGGUGCGCUGAUCGCAGAUGAUCUACCGCGAUGACCUACACCUCAUUGGAUCCCUGAUGUAGAGUACAGUUUUUUGUAUGUUCAUUCAUUUGUUUUACUAAUUUGCAUUGUUGUAUUGCGCAGCAUUUAUAGGAUUAAACCUAUGUUUUUUUAAAUAUCUGAGAAUUUUUUCUGGCACUGAACACUGGCCCUCAGCUCAUUUGAGUUCUAGACCACUAAUUUAGAGGAAAAUAAAUGAUAAAUCAUGACAAGGACUGAACAUAUGAAUAUAUGAAUGUAUAUAUAUGAGAGGGUGUCAUAAAUAACAAUCACUAUUCUUGUGUAUGCUACCAAGGUCCUUUGACUGAUAGCAUUUUGUUUUACUGCAUAUUUUAGCCUAAAUGGAAUUAUUAUUGGCACAAUAAUUAGUCCUGGACAGAGUGAAAAAUAGCCUAUGAUUUUAAAACUUCCAUUUCUACAGAGAUGCCUUCAAAACCGAAGCAGUUCACCUGGUCUGACUUUUUACUUUAAACCUACAGCAGAAAACCCUUAUGUUGCUGAUGAGCUAUAUUAAGUAUUUGUGACCUCUAAAAUACACCCUUCUUUACCAGUGUCAGAGUAGUAAUACAAUGCUCAUUUGUCUGUGCCACCAUUAAACCUUGGAACCUGUUCCUGCUUGUUAACCUGAUGAUGGUUUUGACACAUUUUAUGUCAGUCUGUUAACCUUCUAAAUUUAAUCACGCUCACAGCUACACAUUGUUAUUCUUCACCUGCAGAUCUGCUGCACAUUACUUCCUUAGUUUGAAAACUGUUUUUUAUUCAGAAAUCUUAAAAAUUCAUUGAUAAGCUACUAAAUCAUUAAGCAUUUUUGGGCUUUUGUUUCUAGUUAUUGUUCUUAAAUUAGGAGAAGCAGUCAAGUUUUAUUUUCCUGCAGCACUUCAAGCUAAGGAUUAUUUUCUCAACAUUCUCGUAAUUUUUUAAUAUUUUUUAUCAUUUUUCCCUUGCUCUCUAAUGUUAUGAUUCUGUGUUUUAUUCAGAGCUCAUCGUCACAUGGACUUAUCUAAAUUAACUACAGCCUUCAGAGGUUUUACCACCAAGCUUCUUGGCAGAGGUAGCAUCAAUAUAGAGUUGAGCCAAAGCGAGGAUCCUGCCAAAUGAACACACAAAGAGCUACAAAUGUGUUAUUGUAUGAGUGCAGAAAAUGGGGUUAGGCGUGGGGUAAUGGUGGUUCUUAAAGGACAAUAAGAUAUUAGACUGUGACAAAAACUGACUUUUUUUAAACGUUCUCUGUAUAAAAUGUUUGCGUGUGAAAGAAGCCGGACUUUCUGUUUUUUUCUUGUUUUUUUCUUUUCUUUUUUUUUUCUUGAUGUUGUGUAACCUAAGAGGGUGUUUGGCUGAUAUAUUAUCAGAGCUGGAAUGAAUGAGAAAGGAUAUGAGGCCCUGAAGGGUAUGUGUUCAUAAUCUCUAAAAGCCAAAGGAGUCGAAAAAAGAUCAAAUAGUUCCUUUGUUGUUUUUUCUCCUUAGACUGGAAUAAUCAGCUAAUGUGUGUUAGGCCCCCAGGAAUUUGUAAGUCAGUUAAACUACUGUUUUAGGUCAGCAGACCAUUGUGAAAGUGGGGAACAACUAACAACAAUGUGUGUUUUUGUUUAAAUGCACCAAACUUAAGAAUAGUUGACUUCAAUGUGCUGAUAAUAGUGGUUAGUUAGUGGUUAGCUUCAAAUGUGGGAUUUAAGGUUGUUCGUUUGACUGCACACGUUGCAAAAUUCACAAAGCUGAUAUCAUUUCUCAGAGAGCCAAUGUUAAUGUCUGGGAUUGAAGAUCACUUUGUUUGCAGUCUUUAACAUUAGACAAUCCUGCAGCCUUUUGAAAAGGCUCUCACACUGUCCCGCUGCUAUGCCUUUCUGAUCCUCACUUUCACCUCUGGGAUUUUAAACAUGCAGACACACACAUACCAUCCUGCACCGACACAGAUAUGUGCGUGACCCUCCUGUGACUCUGAUGGGAGUUGGGCUUGACUAAAUUAGCAGUGCAGUCACUGCCGGCCCAGUGAAAAACAGCAGCAGCAGAAUGAAACAAUUGCUCAAUCUUUCGCACACACUGUUGUUUAGUUUGGUCGACUGAAUGAGUGUGUGUGUGUGUGUGUUGUUCACAGUGCAGCAGCCCUAUCAGCAGUGCAUCUCAGUACGUCGGUGUGAGUCAAACUGAGAUGUGUUAUCUGUUAACUUGUGGAGUGUCUCUCCAUAGGCCUUGCUGUGCCUCUGCACGUCCGUGCAUCAGGGACACAUUUUAACCAAUCACAUUAGUCAAAUGCAGAGCAUAUAACUGGCUUUAACACCGAGGGUCUUACAAAUGAGCACUAAUGCUGCAACAUUUUGGCCAUAUACUGGUUUUCUGUACCAAUUUCCUUCAGUUGACAACAUUAACAAAGAGUUAUUUAAUUCUCAUAGCCAGUAUUUAUGAUGUAAAUGUAUUACAUAUUCUAUAUAUAUAUAUAUAAAAAAACUUGUCAUUUUCCAUUUGGAUAAAUGUGAAGUACAUUCAAGGUCAGGACAUCUUAGCUUCAGCUUCCUCUUCCCUGAAACAGAAUUAUAGUCAGGGAACUGACUGUAGUAUUAGAGAUGCAAGAGAGGAAGCAAGCUAUCCCCUCACUUCACAAACCUGUUGUAUGUUGAAAAUUAGGUGAAGGUCUCUGACCAACCUUUCCUGUUUGCUGCUAUGAUUUCAUUUUUUUUAAAUUUUUUAAUUAUUCAAAAGUAGAUAUGUCAUGUUUGACCCUGGAUUUGCCCUCAUUGUUAGAGGAAGAUAAUCUGACCUGGAGUAACUUCAAUAGUUUUCCAUAGUUCUAUCUUAGACGUGCCGUCAUGACCUGGUACCAGAUCUCCAAAUGGCUUUUGAAGUCAGACCUUGGAAAAGAGAUGUCUUUUUAGUUUUU